ensembl:lncRNA
GGGCACUCGAGGGGGCGGCCCCUCUCCAGAUUCUCUAGAGCUGUUCCUCCUCCCACCCCGGCGCGCCGCCGUCCUCGCUGCCCGCGGAAAACAGGCCUCUCCGUCCGCCCCGCGCACCUCGCAGGGCCCAAGGCUGGCGGUCAAGCCUGGGACUCGGUCACGCCUCCCUGGUCUGUAGCCCGGGGUCAAGGGAGGGGACCCGCCAGACCCUGGAACAGCCCCCUCGGACAGGCCCACUUUCCUGAAGCAAUUUCUCCUCGCAAUGCGCGGUGUCUUCCCCCAAACUCCGUGGGGCUCACAGGAUGUCAUCUCUAGGCCAGCGGGCUCUGAUCCGGAAAGUGAGAAGAAAAUUUUAACCCACCUGUCCGGUGCUGGGCAAAGGAAAGCAGGAACUGAAUGGACUUGCAGGAAGCUGACCCCGCCUUGUAAACCAACAGCACCCUCUGCUGCUGCUGCUAAGUCACUUCAGGCAUCUCCGACUCUGUGCAACCCCAUAGACGGCAGCCCACCAAGCUCCUCUGUCCCUGGGAUUCUCCAGGCAAGAACACUGGAGUGGGUUGCCAUUUCCCUCUCCAAUGCAUGAAAGUGAAAAGUGAAAGUGAAGUCGCUCAGUUGUGUCCGACUCUUAGAGACCCCAUGAACUGCAGCCCCCCAUGCUCCUCUGUCCAUGGGAUUUUCCAGGCAAGAGUACUGGAGUGGGUUGACAUGCUCUCCUCCAGGGUAUCCUCCCAACCCAGGGAUCGAACCCACACCUCUUAUAUAUCCUGGCAUUGGCAGGAGGUUCUUUACCACUAGCACCACCUGGGAAGUCCG